UAUUACAAAAGAGGCCUUUAGCGACAAUUAUUUAGCAGCAAUAUGUUAAUUGUCGCUAACUUACUUACCGAAGAUGAAAUAUUAACGGCCAAUAAGCAUUGGCCGAGAAUAAGUGUCCUUUUAGUGGAAAUUCAAAAUAAUUGCUUUAAACCCUUUAAAUUUAUUUUUCCUUUUCCCUCCAAUUUCCUUAAUUCUCUCUAAACCCUCUCCUGAGUCUCGCCUAAAGAGAUAUACCACUGCCAUUCUCCAAAAAAAACCUCUAUCAGUUCGACACCAAGCCAUCUAAUUGCGCCUAUUGCUCGAGUUUUCCAUCAUCAACUAAGCUGCCACAAGUCGCCAUCACGGUCGGUAAUUUUAUCUCCCUCCGUUGUCUAUCUUUUAGGUUUAAUUGGGCAACCAAUUCUAUUGGAUGGGUCUAGGGCUUCAUGAGAAAUCGACCUUAAAUUGAGCCAGGUUCAAUUCUUCGUGUUCUGAAGUCAAAGAGGAUACCCCAAGGCACGUCGAUGACCUUCUAUUCCCACUUCGUCACCUCAAUUUGAUUGUGACCAUAUAUUUGGAAAUAAUUUGCUUUAAAGUUGUGGAUUUUUAAGGUUGAUUUUGGGAUUUUUUUAGUCUUCUUUUUUCUUGUUGAUAUUUAUCUUUUCCUUAUUCAUAUCUGUAUGGGCUUUUUUCAUGUUCUCAUAUUUGAUUUUUGUUUUUCUCGACAAAGAUGCAUAGGUAAUUUUGAUUGCUAAUUAGUUGGAAACAGUGCAGAUGUGCCUGAAAAUGCUAGAAGGAUAGUCGAACAGUUAAUUUCUUCUCUUUUUCUUUGUAGUACAAAUAAAAAUCUUGAUGUGAGUUGAUUUUUGAGAAGUGGGUUGGGCUUUAUUCUGUUAGGUUGGUGUGCUUACUCGCUUCAUAGCUUAUUAUUAUUUUUCUUAUCGAUGGAAGAAGCUAAGUGUAGAAUGAUGGUAAAUUAAACAACACCAUACUUUCAAUUUAGGUGCUUCUGUUGCACCUCAGGAUUGCAAGUGUUUUCAUAGAUUCUUGAUUAGUGAAGCAUGGGAUCUAAAAGAAUUAUGAAGAAGUUUAAUCUUUCACUUUGAGUGUUUAUUAUUAGAUAACCUGGACUUGUGUGGUUAUAGAAAUAAUGCUAAUCAGUGAAGAUGCAAACUUAUGUCCUCUUCCAAGUAUAUCAUACAUAUUAGCCAUUCUUGAUCAAGUCCAAGUUCAGGCGCUCACAGCAUUACCAGCUCUAAAGGUAUUAGAUACUUACUUCAUCAAGUUCAGUCUUUCUUGGAAAGUGUUUGCUGGUUCAUGGUAUGUUUUAUUGCUCUAGUUACUUAAUUUGAUAUUUAUUCACUUAAGUUGUAGGUUAUUGAAUCUGAUGUUAAACUGGAGAUCUUUGCACUCGGCUUGAACAUGCUCAUUGGUUGGUCUCUGCUAGUAGUUCCAUAUCAAGCUAUAUCUAUCUCCAAUCUCUUAUGUUCUCAAACAUAAUUGGUAGUCUUCUUUUACAUUAGAAACACUGAAAAGUCAAGGGACAUAGCUAUUGGGGAAGUGAUGGUGCUUUUGAUAACCACAGAACCACUGUCUCAAAAUUCUACCCUGCUAUGUAUAUCGAGAAUGUUACUGAUCUUGCCUUCGAUUUUGAUAUUAUGCCUAAAAAUCCAGACUUCCCGUCUAUACAAGGUUUGGACGAAGCAGGGUUGCAUUCUAGCAAAGCUCUCAAGGACGUGAUAUGUAGUCAUCUUCGGAUGAUGACCAAAGUCCUGUCUUCUUCUGCUCUGAAAGGUGUUGCAACUGCUAAAAGUUCCAUUGGUAUCCAAGACACCUUUGGGAAAUAUGGUAUUGAAUAGCCAGGGAAAUUGGGUGAAAGAUACAUCAGAGUUUGAAGAUAACUAUAUGCGCGAAGUUAGACAAGGCCUUGUCUCAAAACUCAAAUAGCAUGAACGUGAAGCUUACAGUUAGCAAAAGUAAAAAGAAGAUUUUGUUGAGAAAUUUGACAUGUGGAAGACUUCAAUGUGAUCGAGAAUGGAAGAAAUUUAUCGGCGCCAUUUAUUGUCGAAUCUUACAGUUAUUUGAUUUCACCAGUUAUUAGACGCACAAUGACACCAGUUAUUGGAUCCAAAUAGUUUUCUUUUCUUUAUGUUGUUCAUACAUUUGAUAUUAUGGAUUAUAAGAUGAUUUUGGUUGUCUUGGAUUUAAUGAAAUGUAUUGUGAUUUUUAGAUUGAAUAUUUUUUUAAUAAAUAGGUAUGACGUGCAUUA